AAUUUCAAUAUAAUCUUUUGUGUUCGUUUCUAGUUAAACGAUUUCUUCAUGCGUGUUGUAGCGACAAGACAAAAACAAAGAAAACGAACCUAGACAUUUCUAUGGCAUUGAGAGAAAGUGUUUUCGACCAAAAUUUUCAAUACGCUAACCAGUGCAAUAAUUGUCAACAGACAUGUUUAAACGACAGUUUAAUGUGUUGUCAAAUGAGAUAUCCGUGCUUACCUGUGUGUACGUGUCAUGGGACUACAAAAACGUUCCCUAUAUAUUUUCCAACGUACAUGAAGGGAAGUGAGGCCAACACGCCAAGCAUGCCUUCUUCGCCUUGCUUUCCAAAUGUGUUGCUAUUCAAUGAAGAAGACAGUUGUGGUAAUAGAAAAGAAAAGAAAGUGCAUACGCAUCCAAGAAAAAAUUCAAAAGAAAAACUUCCAGGAAAAAACAACAAUGAUAAAAAAAAUUCUUUUGUAUCAAAUGAAUAUUUAUAUCCAAUAGUUUUAAUACCUUUUAAAAAGAACAUGAAUGAACAAUGUUUACAAACUAUGUGUUGUACACACGCAUGUUUUAGUCAGGUGGUAUAGUUUCCAAAAAAUUCCAUACAAACAAAAAAUUUUCCAAUGUUAAAAAAAUAUUAAAAAAAAAAUGCUCAGAAAAACGACAGUGACAGGAUUCGAACCUGUGCGGGAAAGUCCCAGUGGAUUUCGAGUCCACCUCCUUAACCACUCGGACACACUGUCUAACUUUAUUUAGACUGUUCCAAUUGAUUCUAACCUGCCAAUUGUAAAAACAAAUAUUUUUGUUUUUUUGAAUUUGGUUGUUAAGAAAAUGUCAAUGGAUUUGAAAAACUAAAUUUUGUCUGGAUUGGUGUUUAUAUUCGUUUCAAAAAAAGAAAACUAGGCACUAAUAAAAACAAGGUUUUUCGAUUGUAAAACGAUUUUGAGAGUGAUAUACAAGCGAAUGAUUUUCAAGAAAAGUUUUUUUCUCUGAUAACACAAAAGAAACGUGAAUUAACGGAAAUUGAGAAAGAAAACAAUAAUUUAAAACUUCGAAUAUCUUCUGGUGAUUUAAAACAAAUUAAUUUUUGUACUUUGUUAGAACAACUUAAGGUAGGAUGAUAAAGGAUGGUAUUUGCAAAAUUUUCUUUCGUUUCGUGCAAUGUGUCAGAGAUUUACAUCAGUCAAAUUUUUACUUGAUAAACCUUCAAGACGUAAUGUAGCCUACGCUUAUUUUAAAUAUGAAAACGAUGUUGAGACAUUUUAUGAAAAUGUGAAUGGUCAAGUUAUCAAUUCAGAAGCAUUGCAUUUAGAAAAAUGGAAACCUUGUAAUAAAGUUGCUUGCCGUUCUACAACAAUUAGUUAUAAACCGUACGAAAAAGAAAAUGAAAGGUCAGAGAAAAUAAAUCAAAUACCAUGUUUAUUGGAUUUAAAGAAAAAACGAUUACCUUACUGGCAACUUCAUGAUGUGUUAAAAAAAGUAACACCUCUUUCUAUUUUUUCUUAUCCACUCCAAUUACAAAUUAAAGAAAAUUAUAUCAAGACUUGUAUUAAAAGUUUAACACGUCAAAUGUUACAAAUACUCUAUCCAGAAUUGUGUUAUUCAAAAUCGCUGAAAAAAACUCUUCCGCAAGUUGCUUAUGGAAAAGAAAUAUGGCAAGAUCAGCUAAACUGGUGUGUUCCAAGUGUUUGCAAAGGUUUUCUUGGUUGUCCGGUGACAACUAUCAUCCCGUCACCAAAAGUGAUAGGUUAUCGAAACAAGUGUGAAUUCACAAUAGGAUUUGAUAGUGAAAACGUCUCAGCGAAUCAUGUCAAUGUUGGUUUUGUUAAAUCCACUAUUAAUUAUAACCCCAUUGUGCAAUCGUGUUCUGGAAUUUUAACAGUACCUUAUUGUAUGCAAGAAUUGUGUCAUCGAUUGAAAAUAUUUAUUCAUAACAAUCUUGAUUCGUUACCUGUCUAUUGUCGUCGAACUCAUAAAGGUUUUUGGAGAUUAUGCAUGAUUCGAGUGUCGGAAGAAUUUCGUGAAAUGUUACUUGUUGUUCAAAUUGCUUCUAUAAAAGAAAUGAUAGCUUUCAUUGAUACAAAGGAUGAUAAGAAAGAGACUUUGAUCGCUUCAAGUGAAAAUGAGUUUCGUUCAGUUCAACAAUUUUAUGAUUUUUUUGUCGCCAAAUUAAUAUCUUUUUUGAUAACUCAAAAAGAAAAAACUUUACAAGACUCGGUUCAAUUAUAUGAUAAUUAUAAAAUCACAUCCUUAUAUAUUCAACAAAGGUCUAAUUGUUCCGAUGCUUUUGAAUCGUCUGAUCCACUUGAUUUGGUGUACGGCAAACCCUAUUUAACAUUUUCUUUAUUACAAUGCCAUUUCCGUGUUACACCUUUGUCUUUCUUUCAGACAAAUACUCAAUCUUGUUGUGAACUGUACACUCAAGUUUUUGAAUUUGUGCAAAAAACCAAAGCGUCUCUUGUUUUAGAUGUGUGCUCUGGAGUUGGAACGAUUUCAAUUUGUUUAAGCUCUCUUUUAACAAAACAGCGCUCUACAAUAAGGUUUCGAGGCGUUGAAUUGGAACCAUCGGCAGUACAGGACGCCAUCACAAAUCUUUCUUUAAAUGCUAUACAUAAUGCACAUUAUAAUUGUGGGAAAGCUGAAGACAUUUUACCAAAUCUUUUACAAGAUGUGUCAAAAGACGAUACAAUCACGGCUCUAGUCGAUCCUCCUCGUCAAGGUUUACACUCCAAUGUGAUUUCGACUCUUUUACAAUGCGAACAAAUACAGUCGAUCAUUUAUAUAUCGUGUAAUCCUGAAUCCUUUCUGCAUGAUGCUCGAAAAUUAUGCACUCCAACACUUUCGACUUUAUCCGUUUUUAAACCCACACAAGUGACAUGCGUUGAUAUGUUUCCUCAUACAUACCAUUGUGAAAUGGUGUGUUUACUUGAACGUAUACCUUUGAAUGAAACGACUUAAUUUUUAAGAGAAAAUAUACGACGCAGACUGAAACCUCAUUUUCUUAUCACGCAUUUGCACAAAAAUAUAUUCUGUACUACAAAAGUGAGGGUCACUGUACCGUUCACUAUAAUUGGUGAUAAGUUGAAAGAAAAGAAU